ACUUUGUCAAUUAGAAUUGAAAAAUCAUAUUUUUUGUCUUCAUGACCUGAUUUGUAUUAAUGAUAUCCAAUCCUCAUUGAAUAUUUUACAGAUUGUGAUGUAGGUGCUGGAACCUCAAGCCAGGGUUCUUCACAGCAUGAUGUAGUUGUUGUGGGGAGCCCAGAGGGAUCCAGCACCGAUGAUGAGCUGCCUUUAAAGGCUUUGGAGAUUGAUGUAACAUGUGAGGCGGAGGAGGAAGUGGCUCCCUUGGAGUCUGAUGAUGGAUCCGCCACUUCUGGGCAUCAGCUUCCCGACCCACCCAGGCCACUCCCUAGGUACCUUGUCAAAUGGCUCCAAUGGGGCUGUGUUCGCCCUUGUCCACUCCCUCCAAGGACUGUGAUUCACUCUUUUACCUUGUCAAAUGGCUCCAAUGGGGCUGUGUUGGCCCUUGUCAACUACCUCCAAGGACUAUGAUGCUCUAUGGCACCUUGUCAAAUGUCUCCCAUGGGGCUGUGUUGGCCCUUGUCAACUCUCUCCAAAGACUGUGAUGCACUAUGGCACCUUGUCAAAUGGCUCCCAUGGGGCUGUGUUGGUCCUUGUCAACUCCCUCGAAGGACUGUGAUGCACUCUUUUACCUUG